ACAGGAUCCAGAGCCCAAGUUAUUUUGGGAUAUGCAGGAGCCUGUGGGAAAAUGCUGGAACAUAUCUGAGUCACUCCGGCAAAUACCUUUCUUUCCAUGUUCCGGCAUGUUUUGUGCUUCCAGGCGGCACAAAAGGGUGCCAGCGGGCGCACACGCCCCUGUUGGACCUGCCCUUCCUGAGCAGCACUCCCUGGAUCCCCCCUGGUGUGCCGCCUCCCCUGAGCUCUGAAAAGUCAGUGGCAUCCCAACUGAGCUGAACUGUAGGACACCCGGCUGCUGAAGGAGAAAGGCUUGGAGAGAGAUCACAAGCAGGCAGAGAGGCAGGCAGAGAGAGAGGAGGAAGCAGGCUCCCCGAGAGAGCAGAGAGCCCGAUGCGGGGCUCGAUCCCAGGACUCCGAGAUCAUGACCUGAGCCGAAGGCAGCGGCUUAACCCACUGAGCCACCCAGGCGCCCCAUGAAUGGACUUCUAUAGUGACAUCAACAUUAGUGGAAAUACAAACAACCGGUUCCAAUGAGAAACUAAUCCGGAUGUACAGAUUCAUCAUUUCUGCCUCUUUUUUUUAAAAAAGAUUUUAUUUAUUUAUUUAUUUGACAGACGGAGAUCACAAGUAGGUAGAGAGGCAGGCAGAGAGAGAGAAAUAGGGGGAAGCAAGCUCCCCGCUGAGC